rnacentral:rRNA from 2 species
GACGAACCGUGCGAACGUUGUUCGGAAUCACUGGGCUUAAAGGGCGCGUAGGCGGUCAAUCCAGUCGGGGGUGAAAUCUUGCAGCUUAACUGUAAAAGUGCCUUCGAUACUGAUUGACUCGAGGGAGGUAGGGGCAGGUGGAACUUCCAGUGGAGCGGUGAAAUGUGUUGAUAUUGGAAGGAACGCCGGUGGCGAAAGCGACCUGCUGGAUCUCUUCUGACGCUGAGGCGCGAAAGCUAGGGGAGCAAACGGG